rnacentral:tRNA from 1 species
GGCCUGGUAGUUCAGUUGGUUAGAAUGCCAGCCUGUCACGCCGGAUGUCGUGUGUUCGAACCCCUUCCAGGUCGCCA